UAGGGAAUAUUGGUCAAUGGGUGAGAGCCUGAACCAGCCAUGCCGCGUGCAGGAAGACGGCCUUAUGGGUUGUAAACUGCUUUUUACCGGGAAGAAAGAGGCCCUGCGGGGCAAGUUGCCAGUACCGGUAGAAUAAGCACCGGCUAACUCCGUGCCAGCAGCCGCGGUAAUACGGAGGGUGCAAGCGUUGUCCGGAUUUAUUGGGUUUAAAGGGUACGUAGGCGGGUGCGUAAGUCAGUGGUUAAAAUUACCGGCUCAACCGGUAGGCUGCCAAUGAAACUGCGUAUCUUGAGUACGGUAGAGGUAGGCGGAAUUUAUGGUGUAGCGGUGAAAUGCAUAGAUACCAUAAAGAACACCGAUAGGUAAGCCAGCUUACUGGACCGUAACUGACGCUGAGGUACGAAAGCAUGGGGAGCAAACAGGAUUAGAUACCCGCGUAGUCC
rnacentral:rRNA from 1 species